GGAGCAGGGUUCUGAUGACAAAGCUUAAAGAUGAGCAAUUCGGAAGGAAGAUUUGGAGAUUCAACAAAGCCAGUUGCCAGGCAGACAUCAGGUUUUGUGAGAUUCCCUCGGAGUUAAUGAGCCUGAACUCAGACAAACGCUCGAUACUGUGGAUACCUCGCGUGAUAGCGACUUCAACACCUACAACCAGGCGUGUCGUCUGUGAAAACCCUGUUUGCUGUGUCCUGUGUAAAACUCAAACACAUUUGUUUUCAAACCUCCUGGAGACACA
rnacentral:lncRNA from 1 species